rnacentral:rRNA from 1 species
ACCUAGUUUGAUUCUAGCUACCAAAUUUAUUAAAUCCCGUUUUACACAUGCAAGCACUCCCAACCCCGUAAAUACCUCUAUUUCUUAACUUAAAUUUUUAAUAAAUUUUCUUUUUAGUAAUAGGUGAAUUAAGUUUUCUAAACACUAUUUUAGCUUUACGCCAGCAGUGAUAAAUACUGCGCCUGUUGCUAAAGCAAGCGCCGAAUACAGAUCUCCAAGACUGGUAAAAAUCGUGCCAGCCACCGCGGUUAAACGAUAAGUCUUAUUAAUUUUCUACCGGUAACAUGUGGAAAUAUCCUCUUUGGUCAUAUCUUUAUUAUUAUGAGGUUCAAUUCACUCUUUUCUAAUUUACAAUUAUAAACUACCUACAUUUCUAUCCCACGAAAGCUUAGACAAAAACAAGGAUUAGAUACCCUUCUAUUCUAAGACAUAAAUAAAUUUUACCAGGGUACUACAAGCACAUGCUUAAAACCCAAAGAACUUUGGCGGUGCCUUAACCCUCUCAGGGGAGCCUGUCCUUUAAACCGAUAAUCCACGUUUUCCUCACCUUUAUUUGCCCCCAGCCUGUAUAUUGCCGUCGCCAGCUUACCUCUCGAAAGUUUAGUGAGCAAUAAGAACCUCUUCCUCCCUACGUCAGGUCGAAAUGCAGCCCAUAUAAAGGAAGCGAUGGGCUACAAUCCUAAUUAAGGAUACGAAUAUUAAUAAACACAACCUUUAAUUGAAGGUGGACUUGAAAGUAAUAUGAGAAAACAUGCUCACAUGAAUUUAGGCAAUCUAAGGCAUGCACACAUCGCCCGUCACUCUUACCGAAAGGGAAGAUAAGUCGUAACAAAGUAGGUGUAAUGGAAAUUGCACCUUCCCAAAA